UACGAAGGGAGCUAGCGUUGUUCGGAAUCACUGGGCGUAAAGCGCACGUAGGCGGAUGUGUCAGUCAGGGGUGAAAUCCCGGAGCUCAACUUCGGAACUGCCCUUGAUACAGCACGUCUUGAGUCCGGAAGAGGUGGGUGGAAUUCCUAGUGUAGAGGUGAAAUUCGUAGAUAUUAGGAAGAACACCGGUGGCGAAGGCGGCCCACUGGUCCGGUACUGACGCUGGAGGUGCGAAAGCGUGGGGAGCGAACAGG
rnacentral:rRNA from 1 species